CCCACAGCCACAGGUACAGUGCAGAAUGGGAAUCAAAGCUUUGCCUGGUGCUUCGGGUGAACCUGUAAUCUUUUUCUUCAUAAAAAUAGCUCUGGUGAAAACCCUGAUGGGAAAAUACAGCUGGGGUCAGCACAAAAGGCUCUUGCAUUGAUCCCUGGCAUUAAACAGAGGAGGGGAAGAGGAGGUUUGUAGACUGGCAUUUAGGUAGUGGUUCAUGCUGUGGUCACAAGGAGAGCUCUGAGCCCCUGCAAACAUCACCUCCAGCCGGGUAAACGGGAGGAAGCUGCGGCAGCCUCUGCCUUGAGCACCUCGGUUCAGCUCCUGCUGCCUGGAGCCCUUUUCCCAGCCGAGCUGUGAGGAGGGAUGGAGGGAUGGGCAGUGCGUGCAAAGCGUGUCGACAAGAGCAUUUGUGUGUGGCUGAGGAGGCAAAGAGGAGAAAAAGGAUGAUGAAUCCACUCUGACCUCCUGAAUGGCAAUAUAAAUACUUUAUUGAAAAUUCUAAAUAAAUGUGUUUGUAACCAGUAA